rnacentral:rRNA from 1 species
GAUGAACGCUGGCGGCGUGCCUAAUACAUGCAAGUCGAGCGAACGGACGAGAAGCUUGCUUCUCUGAUGUUAGCGGCGGACGGGUGAGUAACACGUGGAUAACCUACCUAUAAGACUGGGAUAACUUCGGGAAACCGGAGCUAAUACCGGAUAAUAUUUUGAACCGCAUGGUUCAAAAGUGAAAGACGGUCUUGCUGUCACUUAUAGAUGGAUCCGCGCUGCAUUAGCUAGUUGGUAAGGUAACGGCUUACCAAGGCAACGAUGCAUAGCCGACCUGAGAGCGUGAUCGACCACACUGGAACUGGGACACGGUCCAGACGCCUACGGGAGGCAGCAGUAGGGAAUCUUCCGCAAUGGGCGAAAGCCUGACGGAGCAACGACGCGUGAGUGAUGAAGGUCUUCGGAUCGUAAAACUCUGUUAUUAGGGAAGAGCAUAUGUGUAAGUAACUGUGCACAUCUUGACGGUACCUAAUCAGAAAGCCACGGCUAACUACGUG